rnacentral:lncRNA from 1 species
UCUUCUUUGUUUCUUAAAUGCUUGACCCAGAAUUUUGCAUGUAGUCAUCAAGACAUCGCCCCACAGCUGAGCUGUGUCAUGGAACAGCCAGCCCAUCUAAAAGGCUGCCUACUCAUCAGCCUGCUCAGCCUGUGUGGGCUGGGAAUGUGGUGCCAUGCAGGGGAGGCAUUCCCCCCGUUGCAUGGUACCACAUACCCUUUGGGAAAGAGCUCUGUGCCUGCCCCAUAAACACUCUGUGGCACCAUUCCUCCCUCCUGACUCUGCCUGUCUUCUGCCAUCCUUUGAUGUGUAAAUUGGAAAACUGUCAUCACCUAUUGAUCUCAAAAAUGUCAUCCUAUGUGAAAAGUUAGUGCACU